rnacentral:rRNA from 1 species
GUCGUCAGCUCGUGUCGUGAGAUGUCGGUUAAGUCCGCUAACGAGCGCAACCCUCGCCGUAUGUUACAAGUGUCAUACGGGACUGCCGGUAAAAAGCCGGAGGAAGGUGAGGAUGAUGUCAAGUCAGCAUGACCUUUAUAUCCAGGGCUACACACACGCUACAAUGGUCUGUACAAUUGGUUGCCAAGCCGCGAGGCGGAGCCAAUCCGUAAAGCAGGCCUCAGUUCAGAUUGCAGUCUGCAACUCGACUGCAUGAAGCCGGAGUUGCUAGUAACCGCAGGUCAGCAAUACUGCGGUGAAUACGUUCCCGGGUCUU